CCAGGAGAUGGGCCAUGCUGCUCACAAGCAUGAUGACCAGUCCAUGCUAUGAACACCUAGAGACAGUUUCUAAAGCAAUUAGCUGGAAGGCUUUCCACCAAAAUGGUUCCAAUUUCUACCCCAAUUGGCAAGAGGGGAGCCUCUAUUUGCAUAUUAUCAUACCCUUAAGAAUCAAAGUCAUGAGUACCCGGCGUGUCCUCCAGUUAACUUCCAGGAGAGGUGCUUACUUUGGCUCAGUGGUUCAGACAGGUCAAGGCUACAAUUGGUUCCAUUCUCUUGCGCUUGCUUUCCUUGACGGUAACAAGAUGAGAGCUGUAGCUCCGGCCAACAUGUGUCCCUUCCAGGCAAGAAGGAAAGAGGAGAGAGUAAAAGAGAUCAGCCGGCCAAUUCUAGUUUAUGCCAGAAUUGUGGAAGCCAAAGCAAUGAUUUCCAUUUAA
rnacentral:lncRNA from 1 species